rnacentral:rRNA from 1 species
AACGAACGCUGGCGGCAUGCCUAACACAUGCAAGUCGAACGAGACCUUCGGGUCUAGUGGCGCACGGGUGCUUAACGCGUGGGAACCUGCCCUUAGGUUCGGAAUAACUCCCCGAAAGGGGUGCUAAUACCGGAUAAUGUCUUCGGACCAAAGAUUUAUCGCCUUUGGAUGUGCCCGCGUUGGAUUCGCUUGUUGGUAGGGUAAAAGCCUACCAAGGCGACGAUCCAUAGCUGGUCUGAGAGGAUGACCAGCCACACUGGGACUGGGACACGGCCCAGACUCCUACGGGAGGCAGCAGUGGGGAAUAUUGGGCAAUGGGCGAAAGCCUGAUCCAGCAAGGCCGCGUGAGUGAUGAAGGCCUUAGGGUUGUAAAGCUCUUUUAACCGGGAUGAUAAUGACAGUACCGGGAGAAUAAGCUCCGGCUAACUCCGUG